AUCAGGUUCUCUAGAUGAGGGAUACCAGAAGGCAGAAGGUGGGGGACAACCAUCAUGGCUGCCUAUUACGUGCAACGUACAGGACUCGCAACUUCAAUUGUGUCACCUCUGAUCCUCAUGAAGACGCUGGUGGAGGGAGAGAUUGAUGAUGCGGUCAGUUUGCCUCUGUCCUGGGAUUAGAAGCCGGAACCCUGAAAUGCAAUCUUGGAAGUCUCACCCGCGGAGCGGACAUGCUCCCUGGGACUCUUUCCCAAUUGGGACUUCAGACGUGCUGUGACAUAGGACUUCCCAGUGAUGUUUGAGUCUGGAUGUUGGUCAAAACCCAGUUUGUUUGGUGCUGCACUCCCAGAACUGCCUCACUGAAGGUUUGCGGUCGGAUAGAUCCACACUGCAUGGCUGCUGAAGGCUUGUUUCCAGUCUAAGAAUUCUGAGCUGAGGGAUGUUCUUUCUCCUUGACAGCCUCCCCUGAGCCCGGAAGAGGAGAGCUAUACAAAGGCCUAAAAGAGUGUCUGGCACCUAGUAGGAGCUCAAUAAAUGCUGAAUGACUACAGCAGUACCAACCACUCCAAUAGACACUUGGGGUGUGGAAGUGAACUGAAAGCAGGAUCCAGACCUCACAAAGCUUCGGAUUCGUAACACAGAAACAACGCAAGUAAAUAGCAAAAGAG
ensembl:lncRNA